AAUGCAGAGAGAAUAAUCAGGUCUGACCUUCCCUCCAUCCAGUAUUUACUUAUACAGGUCCAGGGUCAGGAAAAGAGCUGCUAAAAUCUCUGCAGACCCCACACACCCUGCACAUAAAAUGUUUAGAGUCUUACCUUAAGGCCGCCGCACAGUGGACAGUAACUCAGUAAGUAUAAAAACAGACAACAUCUUAAGUGUCCUGAUGAUUCCUGUUAGCCUUCAGAAAGAGGAGGAACAGAAUCAUUGCCUAAGGGGAUGACUUUGUGGCCUAACGUUAUGAGUGUUAAUGCACAUCACUGUAUCAAAAACAAAACUGAAAAAUAAAAUUCUAAGUCACAAUCUAGCCCAAAACCAACAAUUUAAAAGGUGUUGACAGUGGAUAACUUCAAAUAUUUAGAUAUUGUCAGACUGCUUUGAUCCCCAUGUUGAUUCUACUGCUACAAGCUUUCCUCAAAGACUUUUCAUUCUGAGAUAUAAAUUAUUUUAAUGUUUAAACUGAGAUAAUGACAUCAUAAAUUUUGUUUAAUUUCCGUAUUACUGUGUGGUUUGGAAACAGACUUGGUAGAUUUCAGUGAGGAGUCACUUUAAGACAUUUAAUAGGCAGGUCUUUAGCAACGCUUUAUUGGAUUGCCAGGAUCCCUCCAGUAUCCCUCUGGCUGCCAUUUUAGGAGUACUGUCUGCGUGAAAAACAAAAGGUUUCUCUUUUGCUGCCAAUUGGAUUCUGAUAACAAGAUUAUCAGUGUAAUUCACUUCACCUAUCAGUGUUUAUAAUGUUAUGGCUUAUUUAUUUAUUUUUUGGUAAUAGUUAUAGUAAAGGGAAAUAGCAUAAAACGUAUGAAAGAAAAAGGUUAUUUUGAAAGAAAACCCGCGCAUUUAUCUAAAGUUCAAUUUUCAGGCGGGCACCAAUAGGUAACAGAGGAGUCUGAUGACGAUUGGUCUGAUCCUGCCGCUGACAGCCAAUCAAAGCUAGCUGGACACUAUCGUCUGUUGAGAGGUUGGCACAGUGAACUCAUUCAACUCAACCAUCUACUGUGAAUGUGAAGAGAGGCACGAAUUGCGUCCCGACGGUCUGUACAGAAUAUCAGCGAAUCACCAACCAGAAGCUAAAGACUGAACUGUAUGCUUCAUUGGACAGUCACACAAACAGUUUGCUGGCUUUAGCCUGGGGGAUGCAGGGGAAAUCCGAUCAGUGCCCAGAAGAUCUCAUCAAUGUUAAAGACAUACUCUGAGGAAUGUGGGUGGCAUUAUCCAGGGAGCCGACCUUGGCAUUAGCCUUAUCUUUGAAAUCCAGCUUCACGUUCUCAAUACGCACAUUUCCUCCCCCUGGGAAAACAACAGCAAGAGGCGGAAACAAAAGAAACCCAU